rfam:Arabidopsis lyrata subsp. lyrata unplaced genomic scaffold ARALYscaffold_1, whole genome shotgun sequence.
AAGCCGUGGUGGGGGCAUUCCCUGUAGGAAUCUUUGAACCGUUCCCAAGCUUCAUGGAAUGAUUUUGUACCAUGCUGCUGAAAAGAAGAGAUCUUUUUCCUCAGAAU